UGUCUCUGUGCUCAUGACAAGGACAUAUCACCUAACUCUGGGCUCUGGCUCACUUAGUAGCUUCUUUGCCGUUGGACUCUCACACCGAGAUGUCACCGAGCAGCAGCCUUUCCCAGGAAGUUGUUAAGGAGAUGGGAAUCCUCAUGCCUGCUGCUUUUUCCCAAAUCAGAGGAAGCCCGGGAGCCAGUUGCAGUAAAGUCUUGCCAGUAACGUUUCUCUUAAGAACGAGAAAGCUACUCAAAGAAAUGAUCUCUUCCUGGAUGUUGUGGUCCACGAAUAUUAUGUCUGGAACAUCAGAGCCAUCUUGUCUCCAUGAUGGGAGUUCCAUCUAAAGACAAAGUCAAAACCCAGCAGAGGACACAGCUGAAGGAACACGAGAAAGUGGCAUGGAAACGCUGAAGCCCCAGCACCGGCAGACCUCAGUUAUUGGGGCCAAUCAACCUCUUGUUACUGUUCAAGCGAGUUUGGAAACGUUGUCAGAGACCCACAACAGAAAACAACUCAAACAGCAAGGGAGAUGUGCCCCUACUGGCCAGUGAAGGAGGAAAUGGCUGUGAAUGUGGAAUCAGAAAUCUGGAUUGGAACCUGAGCUCAGCCUUUUACUGGCCAUGGGAUCUUGAACAAGUUACUCAACUGAACUGAAUGUCAAUUUCCUAAUCAACAAGACAGUAAAAUCA
ensembl:lncRNA novel transcript